AUCGGUGACAGUGGUGCAUGGUUGUCGUCAGCUCGUGUCGUGAGAUGUUGGUUAAGUCCGCAACGAGCGCAACCCCUAUUGUUAGUUGCCAUCAUUCAGUUGGGCACUCUAGCGAGACUGCCGGUAAUAAACCGGAGGAAGGUGGGGAUGACGUCAAAUCAUCAUGCCCCUUAUGACCUGGGCUACACACGUGCUACAAUGGUUGGUACAACGAGUUGCGAGUCGGUGACGGCGAGCUAAUCUCUUAAAGCUAAUCUCAGUUCGGAUUGUAGGCUGCAACUCGCCUACAUGAGGUCGGAAUCGCUAGUAAUCGCGGAUCAGCACGCCGCGGUGAAUACGUUCCCGGGCCUU
rnacentral:rRNA from 1 species